rnacentral:lncRNA from 1 species
AAUUUACCCAGCAGAGAAGGGGUGGCGUCCGAGGCGGAGGGAACAGCGCAGGCAGGGAUGUGGGCAGCGAAAGCUGUCGUGUCACACCCCAGCUCAGUAGACACCAGAAGCCACAUGAGAGGACACUGUCCUGUUGGAGUUGGGCGUGCCCGCUCUGCCUUCAACUUCUUGGAGGUGUCUGGGAAGGUAACCAGUUAGGGUCCAACAUGGAGGAAGAGAAAAGCCCACCCCUCUUUGCUGAAAAUCCAUGGCAACAGCCAAGCCUCUGCUAGGAGCGUGGGGAGAACGUUGGGAAGGUCGUCACCAAGGGAUGCCGCUACGUGGUCCUCGGCCUGCAAGGCUUCGCCGCGGCCUACUCUGCCCCGUUCGGAGUUGCCACCAGCGUGGUCUCGUUUGUCCGCUAGCAGGAGCGCGGACGGAAGCCCCGCGCUGGGAGCUGUGCGGGCCCAGGACCAUCUCCGACCCGAACCCACAAAAUCCUUGGAGGAAAUCAAUGUCUUUCCUUGUUGCAUUGGAUGAAUGCUAUGAACGGAACAUCCCUGCCCAUCCGCUGAGCUUUUCAUGACUCUAGGACACAGGUGGCUCCGAUGGACAGUCCCGCAGAGAGUCAGGCCCGUAUUAAGCUUGGGGUUACGGUGUGCGGACACCGAAGCCUUCACAUGGAGGCCACGGGGGGCUGGCCCAGAGGCAGACGCUUGGCAGAAGGGGGCACUCUGGGUGGGUAGCGCACUGGGGAUUAUGAGGGGGGAAAGGGAUUUUGACCUGGACUAAUAAGAUGAUUUGUUAUGUUCUGGGAAGGUCGCAGGCCGGCUUGGCGCUCACAGCCCUUGGCUGCCUCGAUUCUGGGGGCAGCAGAGGAGCUGUUUGUCUGUCAUGUGCCCCAUCUCCUUCCUCCACCCCUUUGUCACCAGGAGUUUAAUUAUGGGCUUGAGAAGAAGGAAGGAAGGAAGGAAAAUCUCUUUGAAGGUGGGGUUGCUUUGAAAACUGUGGAUGACGUGUGUGACUGUUGAAAGCAGAUAAAGCUUGUGAUUCCCACCCCCCCACACGAAUGUGCAGCUGGCAGGGAGGGAAGGAGAGGGUUCAGAGGCAGGCUGGGUGGGCUGGAGAGGUCGCUGGAGGGCACGCUCCUGCGGUUCCCGGGCCAGCCCUGGCCGGCUGCGGGCUCCGAGCUUCAGGCCUGUGGCUGGCUGACCACUGCCCCNNNNNNNNNNNNNNNNNNNNNNNNNNNNNNNNNNNNNNNNNNNNNNNNNNNNNNNNNNNNAUUCAGUGAAGGAACCAGUAAGUAGGAGACAGGUG